rnacentral:rRNA from 1 species
GACGAACGCUGGCGGCGUGCCUAAUACAUGCAAGUAGGACGCAGUUGCGAACGGGUGAUUAACGCGUAGGUAACUACCUAUUAGAGGGGGCUAAAUAUUCGAAACGAUAGCUAAUACCGCAUACUAGUAGAUGGAACUGCGUUGUAUUAGCUAGUAGGUAGGGUAAUGGCCUACCUAGGCAACGAUACAUAGCCGGCCUUUGAGUGUGAUCGGACAAACUGGUAAUGAGAGACGGCCCAGACCCCUACGGGGGGCAGCAGUAGGGAAUCUUCGGCAAUGGGGGGAAACCUGACCGAGCAACGCCGCGUGAGUGAAGAAGGUUUUCGGGUCGUAAAGCUCUGUUGUUAAGGAAGCGGUACUUAACCAGAAAGGGACGGCUAACUACGUGCCAGCAGCCGCGGUAAUAC